UGAUGCUUGGUCCAACCCUUAUCUGGCUGUGGUGCCUCCAUCAACCUGACGCUCUUUAGUAACCGGUCCAAGUCUUUGUAUGGAGGCCACCAUGAGUGGCCAUCUGAGUACCAGGACUUUGCUACAGGACCGGUACUCCCUUCUCCGACGAACUCCACUAUCAGGUGGCGAUGUACGCGCGCGAGUCGCCAAUGAGCCAAGGGAUGAAGAAGUCCUCAGGGCAAGAUGUGGAGGAGUUAUGGUUGAGAGUGCAAUCUAUUCUGCUUACCCGACUCAUGCAGACUUCUGUCCUGAUGUUUGGCUGUAGUCCUUCCAUCAUCCAGUCUUUUGCAACCGGUCUAUUUAUGGAGACCACCAUGAUCUAAUCUAUACAGAUCUAGUUGUCUCUUCUCCCACAAACUCCUCUUUCAGAUUUUGAGCGGAUCUCCUUCAUUCUGCAGCCAGCUCACCAGAACCUCUGGGUGCACCAGCUGUGGAUAUUACAGGCCAAACUUUGGACACCCUAGGACAACAUCCUUAGCACAGAUCUACCUAUAGCCCUCCAUCAUUCCCACAUCCAUCUUGCAACAGUUUCAUUAAGUGCAGUCCAUAACCAGUUCACAGUCUACACCUUGUCCAUUGCAAAUGUUAUGGAUUAUUCUAAUAAAGAUCUUUCUAUUAUUUUUUUUGAGACAGUUAUUAUGUACUCUGUUAUGUUGUGAAUAAAGUCAGCCCCCCCCCCACCUCGAUGCUUUCAGCAGUUAAUAGAUUAAAGUGUGUCCUUAAUGUUUUAUUAUUUAAAGAUUGUUUUAAAGUUUAUUACAGGCUCAGUUUAUUUUUUUUUCACUAGAAAAUAAAGUGGAGUAUUAACUGUCAUAAUCAAGUAUGAGACUUUUGUCAGUAUCAUUAAUUCUAUGAGGCAAUAUGAAUCAAAUUAACAUUUGUAUAGGGUUUUCAUCCGAAGGCUUCUUCCUUAUUCAGUUAAACAUCAAGGGUUUUCUAUGCCUUUGUCACCUUUUACUUUCUCAUCGGAAAUUAUGAGCAUCAUUAUUUGGAAGAAAAUAAGAAUAUGAAAAUGGCUUUGAUUUCAAUGUAUUGAAUGGAAUCAAAGAACCACACAAACCUUUGACCUUCACACAGACAUUGUAUAAAUUAAAGUGUUACUCAAAUUAU